GGGUUGUGAGGUUAAGCGACUAAGCGUACACGGUGGAUGCCCUGGCAGUCAGAGGCGAUGAAGGACGUGCUAAUCUGCGAUAAGCGUCGGUAAGGUGAUAUGAACCGUUAUAACCGGCGAUUUCCGAAUGGGGAAACCCAGUGUGUUUCGACACACUAUCAUUAACUGAAUCCAUAGGUUAAUGAGGCGAACCGGGGGAACUGAAACAUCUAAGUACCCCGAGGAAAAGAAAUCAACCGAGAUUCCCCCAGUAGCGGCGAGCGAACGGGGAGCAGCCCAGAGCCUGAAUCAGUGUGUGUGUUAGUGGAAGCGUCUGGAAAGGCGCGCGAUACAGGGUGACAGCCCCGUACACAAAAAUGCACAUGCUGUGAGCUCGAUGAGUAGGGCGGGACACGUGGUAUCCUGUCUGAAUAUGGGGGGACCAUCCUCCAAGGCUAAAUACUCCUGACUGACCGAUAGUGAACCAGUACCGUGAGGGAAAGGCGAAAAGAACCCCGGCGAGGGGAGUGAAAAAGAACCUGAAACCGUGUACGUACAAGCAGUGGGAGCCUCUUUAUGGGGUGACUGCGUACCUUUUGUAUAAUGGGUCAGCGACUUAUAUUCUGUAGCAAGGUUAACCGAAUAGGGGAGCCGAAGGGAAACCGAGUCUUAACUGGGCGUUAAGUUGCAGGGUAUAGACCCGAAACCCGGUGAUCUAGCCAUGGGCAGGUUGAAGGUUGGGUAACACUAACUGGAGGACCGAACCGACUAAUGUUGAAAAAUUAGCGGAUGACUUGUGGCUGGGGGUGAAAGGCCAAUCAAACCGGGAGAUAGCUGGUUCUCCCCGAAAGCUAUUUAGGUAGCGCCUCGUGAAUUCAUCUCCGGGGGUAGAGCACUGUUUCGGCAAGGGGGUCAUCCCGACUUACCAACCCGAUGCAAACUGCGAAUACCGGAGAAUGUUAUCACGGGAGACACACGGCGGGUGCUAACGUCCGUCGUGAAGAGGGAAACAACCCAGACCGCCAGCUAAGGUCCCAAAGUCAUGGUUAAGUGGGAAACGAUGUGGGAAGGCCCAGACAGCCAGGAUGUUGGCUUAGAAGCAGCCAUCAUUUAAAGAAAGCGUAAUAGCUCACUGGUCGAGUCGGCCUGCGCGGAAGAUGUAACGGGGCUAAACCAUGCACCGAAGCUGCGGCAGCGACGCUUAUGCGUUGUUGGGUAGGGGAGCGUUCUGUAAGCCUGUGAAGGUGUGCUGUGAGGCAUGCUGGAGGUAUCAGAAGUGCGAAUGCUGACAUAAGUAACGAUAAAGCGGGUGAAAAGCCCGCUCGCCGGAAGACCAAGGGUUCCUGUCCAACGUUAAUCGGGGCAGGGUGAGUCGACCCCUAAGGCGAGGCCGAAAGGCGUAGUCGAUGGGAAACAGGUUAAUAUUCCUGUACUUGGUGUUACUGCGAAGGGGGGACGGAGAAGGCUAUGUUGGCCGGGCGACGGUUGUCCCGGUUUAAGCGUGUAGGCUGGUUUUCCAGGCAAAUCCGGAAAAUCAAGGCUGAGGCGUGAUGACGAGGCACUACGGUGCUGAAGCAACAAAUGCCCUGCUUCCAGGAAAAGCCUCUAAGCAUCAGGUAACAUCAAAUCGUACCCCAAACCGACACAGGUGGUCAGGUAGAGAAUACCAAGGCGCUUGAGAGAACUCGGGUGAAGGAACUAGGCAAAAUGGUGCCGUAACUUCGGGAGAAGGCACGCUGAUAUGUAGGUGAAGCGACUUGCUCGUGGAGCUGAAAUCAGUCGAAGAUACCAGCUGGCUGCAACUGUUUAUUAAAAACACAGCACUGUGCAAACACGAAAGUGGACGUAUACGGUGUGACGCCUGCCCGGUGCCGGAAGGUUAAUUGAUGGGGUCAGCGCAAGCGAAGCUCUUGAUCGAAGCCCCGGUAAACGGCGGCCGUAACUAUAACGGUCCUAAGGUAGCGAAAUUCCUUGUCGGGUAAGUUCCGACCUGCACGAAUGGCGUAAUGAUGGCCAGGCUGUCUCCACCCGAGACUCAGUGAAAUUGAACUCGCUGUGAAGAUGCAGUGUACCCGCGGCAAGACGGAAAGACCCCGUGAACCUUUACUAUAGCUUGACACUGAACAUUGAGCCUUGAUGUGUAGGAUAGGUGGGAGGCUUUGAAGUGUGGACGCCAGUCUGCAUGGAGCCGACCUUGAAAUACCACCCUUUAAUGUUUGAUGUUCUAACGUUGACCCGUAAUCCGGGUUGCGGACAGUGUCUGGUGGGUAGUUUGACUGGGGCGGUCUCCUCCUAAAGAGUAACGGAGGAGCACGAAGGUUGGCUAAUCCUGGUCGGACAUCAGGAGGUUAGUGCAAUGGCAUAAGCCAGCUUGACUGCGAGCGUGACGGCGCGAGCAGGUGCGAAAGCAGGUCAUAGUGAUCCGGUGGUUCUGAAUGGAAGGGCCAUCGCUCAACGGAUAAAAGGUACUCCGGGGAUAACAGGCUGAUACCGCCCAAGAGUUCAUAUCGACGGCGGUGUUUGGCACCUCGAUGUCGGCUCAUCACAUCCUGGGGCUGAAGUAGGUCCCAAGGGUAUGGCUGUUCGCCAUUUAAAGUGGUACGCGAGCUGGGUUUAGAACGUCGUGAGACAGUUCGGUCCCUAUCUGCCGUGGGCGCUGGAGAACUGAGGGGGGCUGCUCCUAGUACGAGAGGACCGGAGUGGACGCAUCACUGGUGUUCGGGUUGUCAUGCCAAUGGCACUGCCCGGUAGCUAAAUGCGGAAGAGAUAAGUGCUGAAAGCAUCUAAGCACGAAACUUGCCCCGAGAUGAGUUCUCCCUGACUCCUUGAGAGUCCUGAAGGAACGUUGAAGACGACGACGUUGAUAGGCCGGGUGUGUAAGCGCAGCGAUGCGUUGAGCUAACCGGUACUAAUGAACCGUGAGGCUUAACCUUACAACGCCGAAG
rnacentral:rRNA from 1 species